rnacentral:lncRNA from 1 species
CUUGGUUUCCCCCCACCCUUCUUGCUCCUUGGAGCACCUUUCCAUUAUUAUAGCUCCUCUAUGGUUGCUAUUCAUACUGUGCUCUGUUUGACCCCCAAUGAUCAGCACAAAAAUCCUUAGCAUGGAUGGGUCGAUAUGCUUGUCUCCAGGCUACCAAAGAGCUGAUGGACUACGCUAUCAGUCUUACAGGAGAGAGGUGGUACUGGUGGAGAAAAUAAGCCAGGGAGGUCUGGGACAGAGAAGUCAGUCUGGAGGUUGACACAGAGAGACCCCAGAGCAGUGCUCUUCCGAUCUGUUUUUAGUUCUGCUUCCAAUAUCCUGGGAAGUAGAGGAAACAUCAGAAAACCUUUCUUCAUCCAGUUCUUUCUUCAAAACAUUAUCAUGAGCAGCAAAAGUGACAUAGAGCCUAUUUUACAGAUGAAAAGUUUGAGAACUGGAGCAAAGAAGAGGAAUGACAACUCAAGGAAACUGCUUGAGAGCCUGGAUUCCAGCCUGGGUCGUGAUCACUAUCAAAUUCUAGUUCUGUUACUCACUGGUUGCAUAAUCUUUAUCAAGUUACAUAAACUCUCUGCCUCAGUUUCUCAUUAAUAAUACAUGUUUCCAUCAAGUGGCUGUGAAAAAGAAAGUAAUGAACACAAUGCCUGGCACACAGAAAGUACCAAUUAAGGUUAAGUGUUAGUAUAACCACCACAAUCAACAGACUUGCAUUCUCUCCUAGCUAUUGCAAAGCUAAUUAUUUCUGUACCAGUCAAGAGGUUCUCAGUAUGCCAUAGUAACAACCCCCCAAAUCUCAGUGGCUUACCACUAAAGCUGUUUUCUCACUCUUGCAACAUGAUCAUCACAGCCAGCUCUGGCGCUCCUCUGCAUCAUCUUCAUUCUGCAACCCAGGUGGGAUGAAGCAACACCCCCUGGGAUCACUGCCCAGAGUUGCGGCUAAAGGAAAAGAGAAUAGAGUGAAGUACAAACUGGAGUUUUAAAGCUUCUGCCCAGAAAUGGCAUGUGCCACUUCCACUCAUGUCCUAGUGGCCAAAGCAAGCCCAAUCUCAGUAUCACAGAGAAGUAUACUCCUCCACCUGGAGGGAAGCAGAGUGAGUUAACCAUAAUAAAUCCACCACAGUGGAGGCACCGAGAUCAAGCCCCUCAGGCUCUUCCCAACUGUGCCAUUCUAUCCUUCUGUAAUUAAAGUUUAAGAUAUUGGUUUUCUGUAAAAUUAAAUUUGUGAUAUUAAAAUAUAUAAUUUUUAAAAAGAGAUUUAGGAAUCUUGUUUUUUUUUUUUUUUUUUUUUCUGGGUGCUAGUCUUCCCAUAAAAUGAUGUCAUUUUCCUGUCAUGCAAGAAGAUGAAGCAACCCAAGACAGCAGCAACAUGAGUCUCUGCUGAAGUCUCACUGCUCUCCUGGGUCCCCAGUUGCUUGGUGAGUCCCACUUUCUUCAUACCUCAGGCUGACAGGUGGUAUACUGUCUGAGGCCAAUGUCAAAGGGUCAUUCUUCCAUUAAAUUCAACUUGCGAUUUCAUCUUUCAGUAACUUGAGGUCCUUCCACAAAGAAGGAGACUGACAAGGCCAUUAGUCCUAUCCUUCAAGUUUCUAUUCAUAAAUAAACUCAGAAAAUAAAAUGAGUCAUAAUCUUUAUCUCAUAUCAUAGAAUCACAAAAGCUUAGCACAAAUUGAGUUCAUCUCACCCAACUCAACUUCUAAUGCAGAAGCACUCUUUCACACUACCAGUAGAUUUAAAUGCUUGAGAACUUUUCAGCAAUCCAGGCAGCUUGAAUGCUUUCAGCAAUGGGAAACUCAUUACCUCAGAGACAAAUGAUUCCACCAUUGGAACAUUAUGACUUUUAGAAUGAUUCUCCUCUUAUUGAGCUAAAAUCUAGCUGGGCAUAGAGUUCAACUUUUUGUCCUAAUUCUACAUUCCAGUGGAACACAGGAAAACUAUAAUAUCACCCCAAAUAAGACCUUCCAGGACUUGAACAAAGUCUGUGGAGCUUUUUCUUGGUCAUCCUUCCUAUUUCUCCCCCUAUAUAUCUUAUGAUAGGAAUUCCAGAGCCCUUCACACCUACUUUACCAAUCUGCCUAUAAAACAUCCAGUGAAAUACUCCAACUUUUUAAUCAGAGGCAAAAAUACCUUCAAACCACUGACAGAGAGGAUUAAAAUAGGGAAGUUAGGGAAAUCCAUGAAGUUUGAGAAUAUCAUUUAUUAUUCUAUUUG